UCAAAUUUCUCCGUUAGAUCAGCAGCUUAAUCUCCUACCGCACAACAGAUCCGCGGGCAUGGCAGCAUCAUCAUUCCUGCUUGCUACGGGCCUCACGAGCGCGGUGCUUGAGCUCGGCCCUUUUCCACCUUACCAUCAGCAUGCAGAGCGUCACAAGGGUGUUCACCUGCAGAACAAGCACACGGGAGGCAGUUGCAUGUAAGGAAAGCAAAAGGAGAUGCAGAUACUGAUGAGGUGAAUGAGACGACUGGCGAUGCACUUACCAGAAUAAGUAUCGUAAUCAGGAGCAGGGGACCAGACCACAUGACCGAGAUGAAGAGGCCUUGGGGAUCAAAGUAAUUCUGGCUUGAGAAGCUCUUCCAGUUUUGUCCUAAGAAUGUGUUUAGUUUCUCCGCAAGGAAUACACCAGAAACUGCAAUGAGUUAAGUACAUCAGGCAAGCAAAGGAGGUAAUCUAGCAUAUUACAAAAGCUAUUGCUUGCUGGUGCUUUGCCCUUAAAUCCAUACUUGCAUCGGAAGGGAAAGAGGAAACAUCAUCUCUCAAGGUCAAGGUUACAUUUACUAAUUACUUGUUAUUCAAACUACUUGUGUGGUUAAAUUUCACAUUAACGUAAAAUAACAGGCACAAAAGCAAAGAAGGUGAAUGUCUUCUCAUAUCACAUACAGUACAUAAUUAGAGAACGGAGAGAAAAAUGCUACACUGAAACCUCGCUGACAUGAUUAAACCAACAUUUAUGCAGGAGUUGGACGUUGCCACUGCAAAUUAGAUAAGCUUUACAGAGCUGAGAUGUGCAGUGUGAUUAUUUUGACGGUUUCAAGGAGACAAAAUACAUAAAACUUCUAAUCUCAGCAAGCAUAAAAAAAUACAAUAAAUAUGGUCAGUAUGACAUGCAUGAUGCACACAAUCUAUAAUCACCAGCUAACGGUACUAGAAGUCUGAUGGCCAAAUAAAAAAAACAAUGAUAGGGAAGUAAUACUCACAUGUGAAGGCUGACAAAAUAAGUUGGAAAUUGAUGUUCCUCCUGGAGAUGAUGGUUACCAGUAGCAGAAUGGCAUGGAAACUUAUCAUGCCGAUCAACCAAGGUUCCUAAAGAGACAGAAGGAACAGAUCAGUCAAGGUAAGAACAGGGACAACGAUUACCCAUGAGAUGAGCGAAGUUGAUUACACAAUAAAACAUGAAGAAAAGGCUGAUGGUUCAAGAAAACAUGUAGUCCCUUUGUUCCCAAAUACUCCCUUCGUACCAUAAUAAUUGUAGUUGGGAAGAACUAAACUAGUUCCCCUCAACUACAAUUAUUAUGGUAUAGAGGGAGUAUAAGAUGUUUUGGAUAUUUCAAUAUGGACUACAUACGGACUAAAAUGAGUGAACAAACACACUAAAACAUCUGAUUCAGGAGAAAGUUAAAUUUGACGGAGGGAGUAUAUGAGUACGCAGAAGUACUAGCUACUGAGUUUCAGGUGGGAAAGCAUUAACAUGGAAGCUCCGAAACUGGAGUAAUCACAAGCGCCAUUAAGUAACUUGCAUUCUGUUGCGGACUUUUACUCUUGGAUGCACCGCGGUGGUCUUCGAUUGAUUUACUAGUUCACAGGAAUGAGGAUGCAGUGGAAUCGCGCAGAGAUGAACCACAUGAAAUUGUUCGUCCUACAUAGCAUAACUACCCACACCAUCGCUGCCUCUCAAGAGAGAUCCAGGCGAGGCCGGCGGUAAAUAAUCCGCGGCGUCGGUUGGAUUCAGUCGACAAAGAGCACACUGACGUCGGCGGUUGAAGCAGCAGCUUCUGCUUCCUGGUGGACUAAAUCCUAGGUUCAAGCGGGCGAAGCAAGGGGGUGAGGGGGAAAAGACGCACCUUCCAGUCGACGGCGUGGAAGAAGCCGACGAAGGAGUCGACGGCGGGGCCGAAUCCGCCGCGGAGCUCGGUGGAGACGCGGCCGAAGAGCUCGGCUACCACGUCAGCGUGCUCGUUCAGCGCCGAACGCACCUCCUCCACCGCUCGCCCAACCGCCGCCGCCGCCGGGGAGGAGGAGGACGCCGCCAUCUCGUCUCGUGAUCUGAUCUCCGCUGCACUGCUCUCCUCCUUUCUCUGCAAGAGACGCAAAGGCAAAAUGUCGUCCCCCCUGCUAAUUCGGGGCCACACGUCAGUGACUUUAAACGCUGGAAACAGUUGGGCCGAGUUCUUCCUUAACUGGGCUGUGCUGGCACGUCGUUUGAUUUCCAACAAUGAAGGGAAAUUCUAUCUACACGCCGCACCGUAAAGUACAGCGGCUUGUGUUCUCUUGCAAUGAUGUCAUCAGAUUCAUUUUAAAUGAUCGAAAUUCAAAAACUUUUAUCUCUUAAACCGUUAAUUCGAUCGAUAAUCCGUUUUCACCGUUGACUUUGUUUCGACGAAAUCUUUAAAACUAGAUCCCAUGUCGACAUGUUUCGACAAUUUUUUUUCUCACAAUUACCACAUUUGCUGCACUUACUUGUCAUAUUAGUAAGUGCUUACUUGUCUGAUAAAAAAUAACUUAAUCAUCAAAUUUUUAAAAAUUGCGUAUAAAUAUGACAUCUUGACAUAAUUAAAAUGGCAAGCACAAACAACUUUUUGAGGCGAUUACACGCAAAAAAUAUGACAACUCAACAUAUUUAAAACCGGUGACCACAAAAAAAAUCUUUUUUUAUCAUCGUUUGUAAAUAUGACAACUCGGCAUAGUUAAACUAGCAUCUUGACAACUAAGUUUUUGUAAAAUUGGCAACUAUACAAUUUUAAACUAUUACUAGUAGUACUAGUACUAACUAGAUGCAUUUAGCUAGUGAUUAAGGUCUGCCAACACAUGUUUUGUGUGAGACACUUUUUCUACCGAUUUUCUGUGUCACGCUUUGCAUGCAAUGCAUAUUUUUGUGAUGCCAUCUGCAUAUCCUUCUAAGCCACGAUGUUGUGUGCUGCAAUAUGGAUACAUGCGGCACAUGAUUCACAUCGAGAAAAAAAUGGUAAUUAAGUUAUUUUUUUUGACAAGUAAGUGGCUAAUAAUACGACAAGUAAGUCUAAAAAUGUGGCAAUUAUGGACGGAGAAAAAAAGUUCUCGAAACAUGUCGACAUGGGGUCUAGUUUUGAAGAUCUCGUCACGACAAAGCCAACGGUGAAAACGGAUUGUCAAUUAAAUUAACUAUUUUAGAGAUAAAACUUUUAAAACUUUAAGUCAAUAGAGAGAAUCUUGAUGACGUUAUUGCAUGCAUGCAUGGUAGGGAGAUGGAAUUAGCCGCAGCAUGGGAAGACUUACAUGCGGCGCCGCUCUGUAGUUAAGCCCAACAAUGAAACUAUUACACGGAAUGGAAGCAACGACUUCCAAACUAUCUCUUUCAGCCACGAAGGACGUUUGUCGAAUACGGAAGCUCAUAAUUUAGCUAGACAUGCUUUGCACCUAGGAGAGGGACGUCAUGUUUGGCUCCUGCAACCUUUUGAUACUCUUGUUAUACCUGUAAACCUCACUAUUGAUCAAUAAGGCAAAACAGUCUUUCCCUCAGAAAAAGAAAAAAAGCUAUCCUCCCAUCCACAUCCUCCCAUUGAUUUAUUUAACCCUAAAAAAACCAGGAGAUUCAAUAGAAAAAAUCAGGUGGUGCACGGUCUCAACGCCUCACCCAUGAUGCUUUCCAAACCACUUGUUACUCAGGAUCGCCCACGACGCUCGCUCAUGUGGGCAGUCCACGUCGUCGUUCAGGUUCCCACCUCCACCACCACUCCCCACGGCACCGACGCCGGAGGGCCGGCCGACAAGGCGCGUCGCGCCCAUGGGGAAGGUGGCGGUUGGGCGGUCUGUUCCUGUCCCCUGCACUAGAGCUUUCUAGAAGUACACACAUGGGGUCCGUUUUCUGGUUCUAUUUGAAAUAUUGCACAUGAUCUAUUUUUCAUGUAUAUUGUAUACUGCACAAUGUACUUCUUUGUUUUGAUUUUAUCUUCUUUUUUGAAGAAAAUGUUCCUCACUUCCCUGCUUAAUAUAAAUAUAAAUGCCUUUGAACUAUUAGGAAUUAUUUUCUUUGUACAAUCACAAAUUAUUUUCAGUUUUCAUGUUAGGCCUUGCCUGCAAUGAUUGCGUUGUGUUGAAUUAGUGCUUAAUUAGUUGUUAUAGCAAGAAGAGAAAGUGUUAUGAAGUCCAACAAUUGCUUUUGGUUGUUGGUUUUAUUUCUACAAUCCCCAACACUCUACUUUUUUUGCACCUAGAUACUAGGUUCCUCCCUCGGAAUAGUUUCUGAAUAGUUUCACAAUGGUGACAAAGAAAGAAUUGAUUUCCUUUUUUCUAUGAUCCUGGAAUCAUGAGUUCAUGACAUAUAAUGUAUUAUUAUGUUCAUACCUUCAAGGUGGAUUAUAACAUGAUGUACCUUGUCAUUUAUUUUUCUCUCAUGUUCAUGCAAACAUUUCUUUGAGAAUAUUCAAUUUUUCACCCGUACUGAAUUUUUUGGAGCUAUCGAACUAUCCCCCUACACUAAAAGUUUGACUACUACUGAAAGAUGUCAAGAUAAUCAUACUUCUUGUUCUUGACUUUACCCUGUUACUGUUGUACUAAACUUAAAUUUUUUGUAGUAAAAUUACGAAAAAGUUGGCUAUGUUUCAUUAAAAUAGGUCAUCUGAUGUGCACGUCGAUCCUUGCAAAGAUAUAUGUUUGACACAUUCAAUGUUGCAUCACUAUAAUAUUUAAACCCCCGUUGCAACUUGCAACGCACGUGCAAUUUCCUAGUGAAACACGAAUCAAUCAAUUUGAUUCAAAAUCAAAUUCCAAUUGAAUUAAAAGUUUAGUCCGCCCUCUGAUCCAAUUAAUUGUCACAACUUUAGUAAAGUUGUACUAAAGCUACGACCACUAAUUUGGCCCGGAGGGAGUAUUAAAAAUAAAUAAUAUGUUUGAUAUUUGUUUCUUAAAUGUUACAUAAAAAGGCAAGCUAUUUAAUUUGUAAAAUUUUGGUACAUUGAAUUGUAAUCCCUGGUUCAUACUUUAAAAAUAUUGCUUGAAACUAGUUGGAACUUGACCAUGGAGGUCUCAGCAAGAUAUGUUAACUUUAGUAUUUGAAUUUCAAUCUCGGAUUCGCACAAAAUAUACAUUAAAAUCAAUUGAAAAAUGGUGUCGAUGGGCUACUUUGACUUUCAUGGCAUAUUAAAUCAUUCAAAUGGCUCUUACAUAUUUCAUAAAUGAAUUUCUAAGGGCAUGCUACGCAUCCGAUAAAACUUUCAAAAUAUCACCUCGACACCCAUUAAAUAUGGCGCCAUACAGCAGCCCAACCCCACCCUCACCAUUGCAAUAAAGGCAGUGUUAUAGAACCCUUUGCAACAAAGCUCAUGUUGUAGAUUUUUUGAAACAUGGGUUGUUGGGAAUGUUCCCCAUGGAUAUGACCCAAUUCAGUAAUGACCUAGCAAAGUGCCCAAGGUACUAUGGGUCAGUCCAAACCCGGGUCAUGAAGAUGUAGAGAAGAAGAGCCAGGCCUAUGGCAGAACCUGUCCGUAGGCCGGUUCAGGAGAGGACCUUACGGGUUGGCUUACGGAGAAGGCCCACAUGAAGUGUCUCUUGAUCUAGGAGAUAAGUCGAAUAAGAGAUAGACUAGAACACGGGUUGACAAACACGACCCAGACUCUCUUGCAACCUUAAGGGUUCAACCUACUAUAUAAAGGGGAGCCUUAGGGAUGAAAAAGGCUAAGUUAGAAACCCUCGAGAGCUGAGUUAGCGAUUCACACUCUUGUAAUCGAGAUCAUCAUCAUCAAUAACAAUCAAGCAAAACGUAAGCUUUUACCUUCAUUAGAGGGGCCGAACCUAGGUAAACUCGUAUCUUGUUGGGGAACGUCGCAUGGGAAACAAAAAAUUUCCUACGCGCACGAAGACCUAUCAUGGUGAUGUCCAUCUACGAGAGGGGAUGUGUGAUCUACGUACCCUUGUAGACCGUACAGCAGAAGCGUUAGUGAACACGGUUGAUGUAGUGGAACAUCCUCACGUCCCUCGAUCCGCCCCGCGAACCGUCCCGUGAUCAGUCCCACGAUCUAGUGCCGAACGGACGGCACCUCCGCGUUCAGNNNNNNNNNNNNNNNNNNNNNNNNNNNNNNNNNNNNNNNNNNNNNNNNNNNNNNNNNNNNNNNNNNNNNNNNNNNNNNNNNNNNNNNNNNNNNNNNNNNNUUUUUUGUAAAUAUUUAGUUGCUCCAAAUAAUCCUUUUGUAAUUUAUUAAAUUGGUCAUAAUUUCUUAUGACCAGGGACAUUUUUUUUGUUUUGAACCCCAACAGAUUUGUCUUUGCUUUAUUUUCUUUCUCUGUUUAUUUUUUGUAUUUGGAAAACCCCAGGAAAUUAUUUUCCUUCUAUCUGGCGCUACUAGUGGGCUCCCUCCCACUAGCAGGCCCAUCUCUCCUCUCUACCGCGUUGCAGCCCACCUGCGCGUCCCUCCUUCCUCCUCCUCACGGUGUAUACCCCCGUGCCCGCUUUCCAUCAGACAAUCGAGAGAGAGAGAGAGAGAGUCGCCGUGAGGGCUCACGGACGUCGAGGCCCCACCAUAAAUCAUUGGCGUCCGUGCCCCUCCUUUCCCUAGGGUUCCGUGUCCCCUCCUAGCGCCGCUGCCACCUCCCUCCAUCUCUCCUUCCCCUCAGGUAAGGGCUCUGUAGAUAGGUUGCAGAGAGAGAGAGAGAAGUGCACCGUGACGUCCUCCACGCCUCCAUCGUCUCCGGCGCCAUCCAGCAUGUUCGGGGGCUCGAAGGGGAUGCCCGCGCUCCAUUCCCGUCCUCGGUGAGGCCGGGGAGCGACCUCACCAAUGGGCAGGAGUUCGUCUACGGCGUGCACCCGUUAGUCUUCUUCCUCUACUUCGAUCUGCAGCAGGCCAUCUUCUUCAGUUCAUCUACAUCGUCUCCAUGCGCUCCUUCUUCCCGAUCAGCGUCUCUUCUCCUUCCCUUAGGUGAGCUAGCUCUCCUCCUCCCUUCCCCCUCGAUUAGAUCAGCCUAGGGCUCGUCGGCAUACCUCUGUCCCGAGAGGGUUUGACAGAUGCAGUGCAUGUGUUGCUGCAUGUGUUGUGUGUGGCGUGCUCGGUAGAUGCAGAGCAGAGCAGAGGCUUUCCCUCGCAGCACAGUGGUAGCCGUAGUAGAUCUCCCCCUCGCGUAGAAGUAGUAGUAGCGAGGCCCUGCUCCGGUGGUGUUCUCUGCCGCCGGCAUCUCUGUGUUCACAUCAGAGCAUCUGGUGCAUAUUGAAAGGAUCGAUAUGGUUGACUAGAGGGGGGGGGGUGAAUAGGCAACGACCACUUUUUAAUUAAUCUUAGCAAGUUAGGGUAAACAGCAUACGGGUCCACAAAUAUAACAACAAUGGGGUGAACCGUAAUGAAGCUAACAACGAGAGCUACUAGAACAAGUAAGAGAUAGACAACAACAUAAGCAUUCAGAAAGUAAAGGUUAGAGAUAACCGCAAGUGGAACCAAUGAAGACGAGGAUGUGUUACCGAAGUUCCUUCCCUUUGACAGGAAGUACGUCUCCGUUGGAGCGGUGUGGAGGCACAAUGCUCCCCAAUAAGCCACUAAGGCCACCGUAUUCUCCUCACGCCCUCGCACGAUGCAAGGUAUCGUGAUUCCACUAUAGGUGCCCUAGAAGGCGGCGACCGAACCUUUACAAACGAGGUUGGGGCAAACUCCACACAAAGCUUGGAGGGUCCCAACAAGACCACGNNNNNNNNNNNNNNNNNNNNNNNNNNNNNNNNNNNNNNNNNNNNNNNNNNNNNNNNNNNNNNNNNNNNNNNNNNNNNNNNNNNNNNNNNNNNNNNNNNNNGGGGGCAACCCACCCCGGGGAAGCCCAUAGGCAUUGAGGGUGGCGCACCAGCCCUUAGUGGGCUGGUGGGACAGCCCAAAAGAGCCCUAUGCGCAUUGGAAGAAAAAUCAAAGAGAAAAAAAAGAGGAGGUGGGAAAGGGAAGAAGGACUCCACCUUCCAAACCAAGUAGGACUCCGUUUGGGGGGGGAGACCUUCCCCUUUAGGUUCGGCCGACCCCCUUGGGAGUACUUGGACCCCAAGGCAAGGCUCCCCCUCCUCCUCCUAUAUAUAGUGGGGUUUUAGGGCUGAUUUGAGAUAACUUUGCCACGGCAGCGCGACCACAUAUCUCCACGGUUUUACCUCUAGAUCGCGUUUCUGCGGAGCUCGGGCGGAGCCCUGCUGAGACGAGAUCAUCACCAACCUCCGGAGCGCCAUCACGCUGCUGGAGAACUCAUCUACCUCUCCGUCUCUCUUGCUGGAUCAAGAAGGCCAAGAUCAUCGUCGAGCUGUACGUGUGUUGAACGCGGAGGUGCCGUCCGUUCGGCACUAGAUCGUGGGACUGAUCGCAGGACGGUUCGCGGGGUGGAUCGAGGGACGUGAGGACGUUCCACUACAUCAACCGCGUUCACUAACGCUUCUGCUGUAUGAUCUACAAGGGUACGUAGAUCACACAUCCCCUCUCGUAGAUGGACAUCACCAUGAUAGGUCUUCGUGCGCGUAGGAACAUUUUUGUUUCCCAUGCGACGUUCCCCAACACACUCCGGGAUCACCAAGUUUCUUAGGAGUUCCACCCUUGAAAGUAUAGUUGGCCAGCAUGGUGGAGAUCUCGAGAUCCGGUAUCUUCCGUUUAUUAGUCACGAUAUCUUUAAUGUACUUGGCAUACGGAGACAUCUUGAGCAUAUCAGUUAACCGUCUGCAGAAAGACGGGUCUGAUCAUCUGAACGAAACGCUCAAAAUCCUCAUCAUCCUUUUUCUUGGAUGGCUUAGGAGGAAAGGGCAUCGGUCUCUGAACCCAUGGCUCUCUUUCUUUAUGAUGCUUCCUAGCAGUGAAGUCAUUCUUGUCGUAUCUCUUAGGUUGUGGAUUAUCAGGAUUAACCGUACGUUCAAUCUCCACAUCCUCAUCAUUGCUAGGUUGAGCAUUAUUAUGAACAUCACUGUCCACAUUGGCACCAGGUUCAUGUUCAUCACCUAAUUGUGUUUGUGCAUCAGAUGCAGAAAUAUCAUUAGGUUCUUCAGGUGUGACAGUAUUUGGUGAACUGGCAUGCAAGUUUCUACCAUCCUUCUUCUUCUCCUUAGGAUGACCAGGUGUAUCAGCAUUGAUUCCUUGAGAAUCUUGAUCAAUUCUCUUAGGAUGACCUUCGGGAUACAAAGGUUCCUGAGUCAUUUUGCCUCCUCUAGUAAUGACUCUGACAGAGUUGUCAUUUAAUUCAUUGAGCAGGUCAUUCUGAGCUUUAAGUACUUGUUCUACCUGAGUAGUAAUCAUAGAGGCAUGUUUACUCAGAAGCUUCAGAUCAUUGACAUUUCUGUCUACACAAGCACUUAAAUGGCUAAGCAUACGCGUACUCUGUCCCAAAUGUCUGCUAACAUAAUCAUUGAAACUCUGUUGUUUGGCAACAAAGUUGUCAAAUUCAUCAAAGCAUAGGCUAGCAGGUUUAUCAAAAGGAAUAUCACUCUCAUCAAACCUACGCAGAGAAUUCACUUCUACUACCUGUAUCGGGUUAUCGAGACCAUGGAUCUCUUUGAUAGGUGGUAGAUUUUUGACAUCUUCAGAUCUAAUGCCUUUCUCUUGCAUAGAUUUCUUGGCUUCUUGCAUAUCUUCGGGACUGAGGAAUAGAAUACCUCUUUCCUUUGGAGUUGGCUUAGGAGGUGGUUCGGGAAUAGUCCAAGCAAUAUCGUUGAUCAAGAGAUUAUUCAGUAGGGUCUCAGCUUGUUCUACAGUUCGUUCCCUAAAAACACAACCGACACAACUAUCUAGGUGGUCUCUAGAGGCAUCGGUAAGUCCGUUAUAGAGGAUAUCAAGUAUCUCGUUCUUCUUAAGAGGGUGAUCAGGCAAAACAUUUUGUAGCUAGACGAGCCUCCCCCAAGCUUGUGGAAGACUCUCUUCUUGGAGUUGAGCAAAGUUGUAUAUUUCCUGCAAGGCAGCUUGCUUCUUAUGGGCAGGGAAAUAUUUCUCACAGAAGUAAUAGUGUAACAUCCCAAAAUUAUAAAUUUUGGAAUGUUAAUAUAAUUAUUAGAUUGAUUGUUUGUUUGUUUGAUCAGUGACUGAAACUUGUGUGAAAUUUGAAACUUUUCAAAACUUUUGAAUGAGAGGGAAUAAAAUGACUUUCCCCUUCUCCGGUGAAUUCAAAUUNNNNNNNNNNCUGAGUGAUUGAAACUUGUGUGAAAUUUGAAACUUUUCAAAACUUUUUAAUGAGAGGGAAUAAAAUGACUUUCCCCUUCUCCGGUGAAUUCAAAUUCAAUCUUUUAGAAGCAAAGAGAGAAGAUGACAUGACUUCUUCAACUAUAAAGAAUUUGAACGGAGAUAUUUGCAUUGAAUUCUUUUGCAUUUCCAUUCGUUUUCUUCGUGCAACAAAAUGCCGGGAAAUAUAUUCGGUCAAACAGAAAAGAGCGGAGGAACAUGACCCUCAAAUACCUGGGCAUUUUGAAUGUUAUUUGCACCCUCAAACUUAGAGGAUCAUUUGAAAAUUAUUUGCAAAAGAAAAUAAACCUUUUUGGAAAUUUUGUGAAAAUAAUUUUUUCUGAAGUUUGUAUUUUUGCCGUGGAAAAAUGCCCAUCAUCUAUAUUUUAUUUUUCUGANNNNNNNNNNUCUUUUUGGCAAUUUUGUGAAAAUAGUUUUUUCUGAAGUUUUUAUUUUUGCCGUGGAAAAAUGCCCAUCAUCUAUAUUUUAUUUUUCUGAUAAUUUUAGUAUAUAAAAACUCUUUAUUCCGAAUUGAUUCGCUUUCCUUUUUAACGUUUUAGUUUCCUAGUUUUAAGAAUAGGAAGGAGAUCACUUUUAUUAGGAAAACUUUAGGUGGCCCAUUAAGCACUUUCCAAAUUUGGCCCAGGAGAUCUUCUUCUUCCUCCUCUCUCCCACGUGACAGAGAAACCUUCCAUCCAUGGAGGAAGGAAUCCCCUCCUUCCCGAUCUCCCUCCUCCUUCCUUCCGGGCGCCAUCCGAGGCCGCCUAUAAAUUCACCUCGUCCCCCUCUCUCCAUUUUUCCCGAGAAAACCUCCUCUCCUCGUCUCUAACUCGUGCCCCACCUCGCCGGAGUUGUCACCGGGGAACAACAGAAACUCCUCCACCAGCAGUUCCCACGUCGGCCUCCUCGCCUUCGGCACCCUCCUCCACCUCGCCCCCUGUAGCCCCCCUCCACCUCNNNNNNNNNNGAGGAGAUCUUCUUCUUCCUCCUCUCUCCUACGUGACAGAGAAACCUUCCAUCCAUGGAGGAAGGAACCCCCUCCUGCCCGAUCUCCCUCCUCCUUCCUUCCGGGCGCCAUCCGAGGCCGCCUAUAAAUUCACCUCGUCCCCCUCUCUACAUUUUUACCGAGAAAACCUCCUCUCCUCGCCUCUAACUCGUGCCCCACCUCGCCAGAGUUGUUACCGGAGAACAACAGAAAACUCCUCCACCAGCAGUUCCCACGUCGGCCUCCUCCCCUUCGGCACCCUCCUCCACCUCGCCCCCUGUAGCCCCCCUCCACCUCNNNNNNNNNNNNNNNNNNNNNNNNNNNNNNNNNNNNNNNNNNNNNNNNNNNNNNNNNNNNNNNNNNNNNNNNNNNNNNNNNNNNNNNNNNNNNNNNNNNNAGGCCCCUCUGCGGUGGAGGUAACAGCCCUACGUCUCAGUGCUCUCGGAGCUUGUUACCGAGUGUAAUAUGGAAUACAGUGAUUUGCUAACCCCUUGACCAGUGGGAGAGGGUGGCUUAUAUAGAGUGCGCUGCCCUCCACAACGGUUCUGACUCAGGGGUGGAGUAGUGGCGAUUGAAUGCAUACGUUACAGGUAAUGUAUGCUCUAAAUGCUAAUAAACACACCCGGAAACGUACGACAGUUUCCCUCCAGAGAGGUUACGAUGUACUGAGUGUAUCCAGUCGGUUGGCCUGGUGCCCUCCGAAUGCUAGUCUCCGACUGGAUGAUUCCGGGCCUGUUACCGACUGGAUGGUGGGGACUCCUUAAUUCAGUCGGGGUAGACUUAAGGUCCUGUCCUUUUUGUGGGUUAGUCCUUGGGUUGGACAUCUAGGGCAGGCCGAUGACCCUACCCUAGGACUAUGACCCCAUCAUUAGUCCCCGAAUGGAUUGGGGUUGGAACGCUGAAGCAGUGCUUGAGGUUCAGAUCCGACUGGACUAGGUUCGGCUUGGGCGUUGCUUGCCUCUAUCCAUUUUAUCUCUCUUGCCCAGCGCUCCGAGUGGAGGUGCUUGCGAAACGGACUGUCGGUCACCGAGUGCUUCCGCGACAUCUUUUGACGCGACCGGUCAACUGACAACGGCGGAUUUUCCGGGAUCUCAAAUUUCGGGUUCCGCGCGCUCAGCGGGGACGACGUCAGCGCGCUCGAGUAGCGCCUGACUCCUCGAUCCUCGCACCUUCAACUCCUCCACUGAUAUCGCCGCGGCCGGUCGGGCAGAUAAGAUUUCGGGCCCAUUCGCUAGUGACCCAGUCGGCGCUCUAUUUAACUCUGGGCGGCGAAACUCCUCGGUUACGCUCGCCGAAUCUUUCGCUCCCGCCUGCUCCGUCUUCCACGCCACCCCCUGCGCACCUAAGCUCCUUCCUCCUCCUCCUCCUUGAGGACUCGCCGUCGCCUCCAUGACCAAGGGUCAGACCAGCAAGAUGGAGGCGAGGAAGAAGAAGAACAAGGCGGCGGCUGCUCAACGGUGGCAGCGGCCGCUGCCAGCGGGGUGGAUCCAAGGAGAUUUCCUCCCCUCCACGGUGACGGAGGGGGACCUGCUGGAGCUGGUGGAGCACGGCAUGCUCGUGCAUAAGUCCCGGAGGCUGCCGGCGGACGACGAGGUCGAGCCGGCGCCACGGGAGGGGGAGCGCGUCUUGCUCCUCAACCAUGUUCACAGAGGUUUUUCUCUUCCCCCGCAUCCCUUCUUCAAAGGCAUCAUGAAUCACUUUGGUGCUCAACUCCAUCACUUCCCCCCGAAUGCCAUCGCCCAUCUUUCUGCCUUCAUUGUUUUGUGCGAGUGCUUUAUCGGUUGCCCUCCCCAUUGGGGUUUAUUCAAACACAUCUUCUCCGCCCGCUCCCAAACCAUAAAACGUCUUAGUCAGUCGGACGACAAGACGCAUCUCCUCCAGCUCUGUGGGGGUUUAGGGUUCCAGAAGAAGAGUCGGAGCAGCUACCCUGCUCUCCAGUUGAGCGAGUCGGUUAGGAACUGGCAGUCGACGUGGUUCUACUGCCAGGACAUAGCCUGUCCGAAUGCGUCGACUGGGCUGCCUCCGUUUAGCCUAGACCGUCCCGCUCCACCCAAGCAACUCGCGCUCUCGAAGGCCGAGAAGAACGAUAUCCAGCCUUUGGUCAAGGCACUCGUGGAUGUUGUCAGGAGGGGGGUCACCGGUAUUGACCUGCUGGAAGUCUUCAUCGGUCGGCGGAUCCAGCCUCUGCAGGCCCGCGACCAUGCUAUGUGGCACUACACAGGGCCCGAGGAUUCCACUCGGACCAACGUGGUGGGCAUACUCGAGGAGAAGGUGACCUCAUGGGUGCUCCAAAUCACGGGUCCCUGUGAGAACCCCAAAGGAGCCCGCCGAGUGACGCCUUACAGCGCGAACAACCCUCCACCGAAUCAGGUGAGUGGCAUUAGCCGAGUGCAUUGAACUGUCUUGAUUCUAGUUGUUUAUUUAUAUCCUCGUGUGAUGCUUAACGUUUCCGACUGAACCUCAUGCAGGAGUGGACCAACUGGUUCUCCCCCGUCUCGAAUGGGAAUUCGGAGGAGGAAGAGGAGGAAGGCAGCCAGGAGGGGAGCGUGGAGAGCGCCGAAUACGUCUCCGACAGCGGGGAGUCAGAGGAGGAGGACAGCGAGGAAGAGGAAGAGGACGAAGAGCGCGACUCGCCACCUCCACGGCCAGAGCAUCAGAGUAAGCGUCGACACGAGCCCGCCGUCCCUUCAGCUCCUCCUGCGUCGUCGAGCGCUCCGCCUGCUGCUCCGGUGGCCCUGAGUGCUCGAGGCACGAAAAGGUCCAGGGACGCAGCCGCUGAGCCCGCAGGCCAGUCUUCCAGGGCGCCCAAACCGAGUGGGCCCAAACCUCGAAAGGCUUUGCCACGCAUGAGGGUUUCCAUCCCCGUCACGUCCACGUAAGUGACUCUAACUUUCGGCUUUUUAUGUUAUCCGAGUGAACUCCUGCUUUACAAGUUGAAUGGACUUCACUCGACAGGGUCGCCACUUCUGCAACCUCUCCGGCCCGCCCAGGGGAUGACCCCAUGGACACGGACAAUGUCGUCUCGUCCCAGCCAGGUAUGUUGUAGGAGAGUCGGGUGUUUUAUUCCUGCAGACUGUGUCAUUCUUUUCUUUUUCUGAGGCGCCAUGUUAUUUGGCUUGUCAGGGGCGAUCUGCCUGGAUGAGGGCGACCAGGGGAGAGCCGACCCCGCCGUGGAGCCUGUCCUGGAGUCUGUCCUUGAGGCCGCUCCUCCUGCCGCCACACCUGCUGCCGACGCUCCGCCGACCGAAGCGCCGCCACCGACUGACCCGGGGCUGGUGGGGGAGGAGCCGACUGGGGCGGACCUUGGGAUGCCCCAAGAACCUUCGACGAUUCCCGGUUCGUCGAAUGCUGAAUUCAGCAUCCGGUGUCUUUCGGAGGAGCAGGUGGGAGCGGCCAAGGGGGCCAUGGUCCAGGCGGAGCUGAUGGCUGGAGAGGCCAAGAGGGCUUAUGACUCCGUUGCGGCUUUGUACCAGCGGAGCUUGGAGCUGCGCGAUGACAUCCGAGUAAGUAGUCUAGUAAGUACUUACUUUUCUUCUGUAACCCACUUGGUGGUAUUGAUUUUUGCAAUGGGUUCACUCCGAGUGAACCCAGUGGGUGUAGUCCCCGAGACUUCUGUCGAGUGCGUGCACCGACAGUUGUCUUUAUACAUUUUGUCGUUAAGUUGGUUGUGUCCGUAGACAGGAUUUCCGAGUGCGAGUACUUAUUGCAAUCGGAACGCUCUUGCGGUAAGAGUCUCCGAGAGUAAGUUGCACGCAGGUCGAGUAGUAUUGGCCUCGGAGGAGUAGUAUUUCCGAGUGCACCUCAAUAGGGCGGGCCUGUUUGAGGUGCAUGCCAGUGGGGUCACUCUCAGUGAACCCACUGGGUGUAGUCCCCGAGAUCGCUGUCGACUGCUUGCGUCGGCAGGGGUCUGAAGAACUUAGGCUGAGAAUUGAUAAACUUGCUGAUUCUCCUUUGUUUCUUGGUGCAGAAAACUUGUGAAAUGGGAAUGGCUUAUGAAGCCCUGAGAGCGGAGAGGAACUAGUAUGCUGGUGAACUGGAAGCUGCAACACUCGCCAUGGCCGGUUUGAAGGACGCUCUGGAAGUAUGAGAGAAGUCCUUGGAGGAGGCUCUGGAGGCAAACAGGGUGUUGAUGGCCGAGGUGGAGAGACUGAAGAAACAGAGGACUGAGCUGCACAAUCAAAUGGCUGUUCAGAACAUACGAUACAUAGCUCAGGAAAAGUAUGUCAACGACUGGGCUGUGCAGAUGAUGACUCGUCUGGCUGGUAAGUCGUAUGUUCUCCCGAGUGUUUGUACCGUGUGUCGUGCACUCGGUUUUUAUUGUCUGCUUGUCCGUUUGCUGCAGAUUUUUGCGGCGACGCUGAAGCUGAAGCGGCGGCUGUGGAGCGGUCUAUUAAGGAGAAUGUUCCACUCAGCGAGGACGCCAACCGGGAUCUGCUCCGAGCACAUAUCCGCGUAGGCAAAGUAGGUCCUUUCAUCGGUCGACUGAGAGAAGUCAUCGGCCGAAUUAACAAGGAACUUUGGCCAGAAGACGAGUCGCGGCAGGGGAUGGAGACCCUGACGGGGCGACUGGAGGAGGUUCCGAGUCGAGUGCAAUCCUGGAAGAAAUCGGCAGCGCGUUGCGGUGCUGAUGUUGCGCUGUCCUUGGUCCGAGUCCAUUGCAAGGAGGUGCGGGAAGAUAAGCUGAAAGCAUUGAAGGUCGCCAACACGAAGAAGCUUCGAUUCGAAGACUUCAUGGAGACGUUCCUUGAGACCGCUACCCGCAUCGCUGAUGGAAUCGACUUGGACACUUUUGUGGAGCCCUCCAGUCCUGACGCCGGCCCAGCUGACGCUUGAUCAAACUUUAUCCUCGGUAUGCCGAGUGUUUACCUGUAAGAUACUCUGGCCACUUGUGUUGGCCGUCAUACUUUUAAGUCGGUGCGGGUAAGCUUAUUCCGCACCGAGUCAAUUAUUGUUUCUAGACUGUUGGAGUCGAAAUGAAAACAUUUAGUCUUUUGUUUGAAUGCUGUUUCGAGCGCAAUACUUAGUGCAUACUCGGAGAAGAUUAAGACUUAGGUGAUUCUUGGUCACGUCUAAGUUCCCGAGUGCGACUUGCAGAGCACACUCGGAGGAAGUUAUUACUUUGGUGAUUCUGGAUCACGUCUAAGUCCACGAGUGUGACGUGUAGUACACACUCGAAGGAGGUGGUUACUUAAGUGAUUCUUGAUCACGUCUAAGUCCCCGAGUGUGACGUAUAGUGCACACUCGGAGGAUGUUACUACUUAGGCGAUUCAGGAUCGCAGCUAAGUCCCCGAGUGUGACGUAUAGUGCACACUCGAAGGAGGUUAAUACUUAGGCGAUUCAGGAUCGCAGCUAAGUCCCCGAGUGUGACGUAUAGUGCACACUCGGAGGAGGUUAGUACUUAGGCGGUUCAGGAUCGCAGCUAAGUCCCCGAGUGUGACGUAUAGUGCACACUCGNNNNNNNNNNUGACGUAUAGUUCACACUCGGAGGAAGUUAUUACUUAGGUGAUUCUUGAUCACAGCUAAGUCCCCGAGUGCGACGUAUAGUGCACACUCGAAGGAGGUUAAUACUUAGGCGAUUCAGGAUCACAGCUAAGUCCCCGAGUGUGACGUAUAGUGCACACUCGAAGGAGGUUAGUACUUAGGCGAUUCAGGGUCGCGGCUAAGUCUCCGAGUGCGACGUAUAGUGCACACUCGAAGGAGGUUAAUACUUAGGCGNNNNNNNNNNNNNNNNNNNNNNNNNNNNNNNNNNNNNNNNNNNNNNNNNNNNNNNNNNNNNNNNNNNNNNNNNNNNNNNNNNNNNNNNNNNNNNNNNNNNGUAGGGCUGUUACCUCCACCGCAGAGGGGCCUGAACUCACACAACCUCUCCGUAGCUAGGACUCUGCCCAUCUCAUUCGUACCCUACACAUCUACUGUCAGGCUUAUACCCACGACAGUAACAUAGCACAUACAUAAAUAGUAGAAUGACAAUAAGGGGUUCAACUGCCAUCUCAUAAAUAUAUCAGAGUUACAUCACGCAUCCAAACAAGGUAGUUCCACUACGGACUACAAAACAUGAGAAAUGACUAUGCUACCCUGCAUGCUUGCCCACGAUCACGACCACGCCUCAGUCUUCUGGAUAGUUCACGUACAGGCGGUCGUUCUCCUCAUCGUACUGCCAUGCCAGCUGCGUGCCGUCGGGAUCACCUGUCUCGGGGGUACCUGAACCUGUUGGUGUUGUGAAGGAAUCUGUGAGCCACGGGGACUCAGCAAUCUAUGACCUCGUGCCGGAUGUUAACAAAUUAUCCAUGUUUGCCACAUAACCACGGGCACGGCUUUCCGAAGAUUAAACCCUGCAGGGGUGCUCCAACUAGUCCAUCACAAACGGAAACGGGCCGCAAAGUAAUCCUCUAUCACGAAUCUCGUGAUCUCGUUGGAUUCCUUAGAGGAAAACCUCAACUCUGGGAAGAUCCAAAGCUUCGUCGGGAUUCCUAUACGCAAGAUAUAUCGCUAAGGUAAGACAAGACUAGCAGGACCUCCCGUCGUGUCGGCGACCCCGAUAAGAGCUGCGUAUCUCAGUCUUAGGACACGACGGAUGAGUGAUGGUUACCACGCCAAAACACCGAGUUGCCCCAGGGAGCGUAAUAAGUUGCUCUGGGUUGGACCAACACUCACGAGGAGCACUGGCCCGGGUUGUUGAUUAAAUUCCUCGGGGUAGCUAUUCCCUAUGCAGAUUAUUAUGAAGUGAUUAGCAAAUUAACACCAAUGUUGGGUCUUGUGGGACAAGUCUUAACACUACACGAUUUAUCAAGGGGGUCCCCAUAACAACCCCGAAAGUGUUAGGAGCGAUCAGUUAUGGAAUCAAACACCGAUAGCCGGUAACUAUGGCAGCAAUAACAGAACAAAACACCCGGCAAAAGGCUAGGCCUUCCGUUAUUUACCAAGUAUAUAGGUGCAUUAAUUAAAUAACAGAUUUAACAUAAUGAUAUCAAGCUCAUGUUAUCACAUGAGACAAAAACACCUGCAACUAGCAACGCUAACAUUAGUAGCUGAGCAAGCCUACUUACCCCAUUCAAGAUUUGCUAGGAAGGGAUAAGUGUUUGGGUUUCAUGGAAAUAUCAGGAGGCAAUUAUUUCAGUGGUAGGCAGCGAGCAUAUGACGGAAGAAACGUAAUCUAGCAUAAGAAGUCUAGAGAUGGAAUCAAGGUCAUAUCAUCUUGCAUGUGAUGUCCUCAGCUUGGAACUGCUCUUGUUCGUCCUGCACGUACUCUCCCGGAUCCACGUACUCGUUCUCCGAUCCCGGUGCUACCCAACAUAAAAAUAGCAUGCAAUGAACAACAGCACCUCAAGAUGCAACAAGCACCUGAUGCAUGAGAUGAAAAUGGACAUGCAUCUCUAUUCUACUCACUAGCACAAGCAUGAGAAGAAAAUACAAGUUCCUGGGCAUAACUGCACUCUAAGCUAUCUUUACAUGCAUGAGGAUGACAUGAAUAGAUGCGUCGCGUGAAAACGAUGCAAAACCAUAUAAAGAACGUUACAAAUGGAGCUACGGAUCAACGUGAAACAACGAAACAAGAAAUGACGUCCUAUGUAUCAAAAUCAUCACAACACACACCAAUGGCAUGCUUCUGGUAUUUCCAGGUUUCCCAGACAUAAAACAAACCAACAUGGAUGGGGUGGUGCAAAUAAUUUCACCACACCAUCAACUAUGCACUCACAAGGAUCAAAACAUCAAAAUUAUACAAUCUGCCAUAAACAGCAUCAUAGCCUUUUGAGAGCUACAUGCAAAGCACCUACAGCCACCCAAACAUGUCAAAAAGGAUAUGUGGCAGAAGCUAUCCAAGUUACUACAAGCACACGCAAAAAUAUAUUGCAAAGAAGUUUCACAUAGAAAGUUACACAGCUGCUAACUUGGCCAAAAAUAUCAGUUUUCAGGGACUUCGUGAAAAUUCCAGAUUCUCACUAGUUGUUUAUGCUCUGAAGCAUUUUGACAGCACCCAAAACAAUAUCUACAUGGGUCCAAAUGGAAUGAAAAUUUACAGAGAGCUAGAAAAGCACAAAAGCUAUAACUUUCGAGUUUAUAGCAAAGGCUAAUUCACAACAUAUGGACCUCUACAAGCACAUCAACAGGAGAAGAAAAUAUAAGAAGAUUCUCAAACUUAGUGAAAAUCACAGAUUUUCACUAAACUGGAAUUUCAGCCACAUGCCUACUUUGACUAAUCACCACUUUCACAUAAGAACUACUAAGCAUGAUACAAAACCAACAUGUGGUAGAGGGGUUCACCCUCUACUGCCACAACAAAGAAUCAACCUCUUGGGCUCACCACAUCUCAUGGAACCAAGCUCUAAACAUAGAACAAAUCUGUAAUUGACAUUCCCAGAAAGUGUUCCAAAGGCAAAACUGACUUCACCAAUGGAUUCCUGGGAUGAUUAUACCCCAAAAACAUAUAUAAAACAUGGGCACUUGCAUAGAACAAUUGGGCACAAACUAGAAAAGAAAAUCUACAUGGAAUCACAUAUAGUGAAUAGUGCAACUUCACAUGUGCUAUUCACUAGAACAACACCUACACAAGCACUUGCACUCCAUAAACACUACAUUGGUGCACAUGAGGGGUAGACCUCAUGCUCUUGUGCCUUAGCACACCACCACACACCACACACAUCAAACACUAGCAAGAAAGCACCUACACAUGCUAAAUAGAACACGCCACUAUCUACACACACAUCAUGCCUCUCUACCCUACACAUACAACACAUGUGCUUAUCAUGGCACAUCAUGCCAUGGCAUGUGUGAGACACACACACAUAAGCACACACACACACUCACAUGCAUCAUCACAAGGUAUGUGGGAGGAAAACCCACACACACAUGCACCUCACUCUUGCACCAUUAGUGCAUGAGCUCAACUCUCAUCAUGCACAUAUGUUCCACACACACACACACCACAUGCAUCAUCACAUGGAGCCAUACACUCACAAGGUGCACACACACACAUGAUACUUACACAAACAUACACCACACAACCUACACAUGCAUUCACCACCUGCUAGCAACAAAAUAAUAGCUACAACCUACUGUUGAGAGCUAAAAAUAAUGUCACAAGGUGAUCUAACACCUACACAUCAACUACACAAUCAACCAAGAGCAAAACAGUAAAGGAGGGCAAAAUAAAUAAAAAGGAGGGGGUUGGGAUCGAACCCAGGACCCCCUGGACAUCACCUGCAACUCCUACCACUCUGCUACUGCCACUAGUUCGACAGAACAGAGAGGCUCUUGCAAGGUAAGUCACUAUGCGCUACUGCAGCUACUGUGCCGAAUAAUAAGCAAAAAAGGGGGUGGCACGUGCAGGACUCAAACCCACCACCUCACCAACAACACACACACACGCUAUGGCCACUACGCUACGCUUCGGGAUCUUGACAGAGAAGGGGAUCUCUACCAGGUAACCUACACAUGCACCAGAUGCUCUGCUCUGAACACAGAGACGCCGGCGGCAGAGAACACCACCGGAGCAGGGCCUUGCUGCUGCUGCUUCAACGCGAGGGGGAGAUCCACUACGGCUACCACUGCUCUACGAGGGAAAGCCUCUGCUCUACUCUGCAUCUACCGAGCACGCCACACACAACACAUCCAGCAACACAUGCACUGCAUCUGUCAAACCCUCUCGGGACAGAGGUAUGCCGACGAGCCCUAGGCCGAUCUAAUCGAGGGGGAAGGGAGGAGGAGAGAUGGCUCAACUAAGGGAAGGAGAAGAGACGCCCAUCGAGAAGAAGGAGCGCCUGGAGACGAUGUAGAUGAACUGAAGAAGAUAGCCUACUGCAGACCAAAGUAGAGGAAUAAGACCGACGGGUGCACACCGUAGACGAGCUCCUGCCCGUCGGUGAGGUCGCUCCCCGGCCUCACCAAGGACGAGAAUGGAGCGCGGGCAUCCCCUUCGAGCCCCCGGACAUGCUGGCCGGCGCCGGAGACGACGGAGGCGUGGAGGACGUCGCGGUGCACUUUUCUCUCUCUUUGCAACCUAUCUACAUAUCCCUUACCUGAGGGGAAGGAGAGAUGGAGGGAGAUGGAGGGAGGUGGCGGCGGUGCUAGGAGGGGACACGGAACCCUAGGGAAAGGAGGGGCACAGACGCCAAUGCUUUAUGGGGGGCCUCGAUGUUCGUGAGCCCUCACGGCGACUCUCUCUUUCUCGGUUGUUUGACGGAAAGCGGGCACGGGGGUAGACGCCGUCAGAAGGAGGAAGCAGGGACGCGCAGGUGGGCUGCCGUGCAGUAGAGAGGAGGGAUGGGCCUGCUAGUGGGAGGGAGCCCACUAGUAGCGCCAGAUAGAAGGAAAAUAAUUCCCUGGGGUUUUCCAAAUACAAAAAAUAAACAGAGAAGGAAAAUAAAGCAAAGACAAAUCUGUUGGGGUUCAAAACAAAACAAAAAUGUCCCUGGUCAUAAGAAAUUAUGACCUAUUUGAAUAAAUUACAAAAGGAUUAUUUGGAGCAACUAAAUAUUUACAAAACANNNNNNNNNNNNNNNNNNNNNNNNNNNNNNNNNNNNNNNNNNNNNNNNNNNNNNNNNNNNNNNNNNNNNNNNNNNNNNNNNNNNNNNNNNNNNNNNNNNNUUUAUAGGAAAACAAAUUGGCAAGACAACCAAUAGUUACCAAAUGCAAGGAAGAAGAAAGAGAUAAUAGCAAUUUCAACAUAACGAGAGGUAAUUUGGUAACAUGAAAGUUUCUACCACAAUAUUUUCCUCUCUCAUAGCAAUUACAUGUGGGAUCAUAUUCAAAUUCAACAAUAUAGCUAUCCCAUAGGAUAUUCUUUUCAUGAUCCACAUGCAUGCAAAGUUGACGCUCUUCAAAAAUAGCGGGAUUAUCAUCAACUACAGUCAUGACUUCUCCAAACCCACUUUCAAUAUUAUUGCAAAUAUCAUUGCAACAAAUAGUGGACAUAGCAAAACUAGCAUACCCAAGCUUAGGGUUUUGCAUAUUUUUAGCAUGAUUGUCAUUAAUAGAAUUUAUAAUGAAAUCAUUGCAAUCAUGCUUUUCAUUCAAGGAGCCCUCGUGAAUCACUUCAUAAAUUUGUUCAUCACGAUUUUCAGAUUCACGCAUCUCAAGCAAAACUCCAUAGAGAAAGUCAAGUGCACUCAACUCACUAGCAAUUGGAUCAACAUAAUUGGAUAUCUUAAAGAGAUUAGCAAGUGGAUGAGGAUCCAUAUCACUAGAUUUUCAGCAAGCGAAGAUGCAAGCAUAUUGAAUGCACAUAGCACACGAGCAAAGGAAAGGCAAACGAAAAUGGCAAAUUGGUGAAGUGGGGGAGAGGAAAACGAGAGGCAACUCGCAAACAAAGUAAAUGCAAGAGAUGAGUUUGCGACACCUACUUGGAUGAGUUCUAGACUUGAUCCUCCCCGGCAACGGCGCCAGAAAUUCUUCUGCUAUGGUAACAAAAGUUCUUCCUUGGCGCUAGGAAUUCUUCUUGUUACUUCUCUUGUUUGGUCGGUUUUUCCCUUGAAGAGGAAAGGGUGAUGCAGCAUAGGCGCAGUAAGUAUUUCCCUCAAUUUGAGAACCAAGGUAUCAAUCCAAAAGGAGGGUCUCCUCAAGUCCAGAGUACCUGCGCAAACACAAACAAGCUUGCACCCAACGCUUCAAAGGGAUUGUCAAUCCCUUCAAGAUUGUNNNNNNNNNNNNNNNNNNNNNNNNNNNNNNNNNNNNNNNNNNNNNNNNNNNNNNNNNNNNNNNNNNNNNNNNNNNNNNNNNNNNNNNNNNNNNNNNNNNNUGGGACCUGGAUGUCCAUAUUGGAUCCUACAUAUUCUACGAAGAUCUUAUCGGUUGAACCUCUGUGCCAACGAUUCAUAUAAUCCUGUAUGUCAUCCCGUUUGUCCUUCGGUAUGUUACUUGCCCGAGAUUCGAUCGUCGGUAUCCGUAUACCUAUUUCAAUCUUGUUACUGGCAAGUCUCUUUGCUCGUUCCGUAAUACAAGAUCCCGUGACUUACACUUGAGUCACAUUGCUUGCAAGUCUUGUUUGUGAUGUUGUAUUACCAAGUGGGCCCCGAGAUACCUCUCCGUCACACGGAGUGACAAAUCCCAGUCUUGGUCCAUACUAACUCAACGGACACCUUCGGAGAUACCUGUAGAGCACCUUUAUAGUCACCUAGUUACGUUGUGACGUUUGAUACACACAAGGUAUUCCUCCGGUGUUAGUGAGUUAUAUGAUCUCAUGGUCAUAGGAAUAAAUACUUGACACGCAGAAAACNNNNNNNNNNUGCUACGUUCAUAGUUUGGGUCUAGUCCAUCACAUGAUUCUCCUAAUGAUGUGAUCCAGUUAUCAAGUGACAACACUUGCAUAUGGUCCGAAAACUUUAACCAUCCUUGAUCAACUAGCUCGCCAACUAGAGGCUUGCUAGGGACAUUGUUUUGUCUAUGUAUCCACACAUGUGUCUAUGUUUUCAUUCAAUACAACUAUAGCAUGGAUAAUAAACAAUUAUCUUGAAACGGGAGAUAUAAUAAUAACUAUUUUAUCAUUGCCUCUAGGGCAUAUUUCAAACACUAUGUGCCUCCCAUCCUGAUAUUAUGUUGAGUGUUUGCAUGUGUGCCCAAUAUCAAGCGGCAGCCAAAGAGUGUCACCUAAAGGUCGUGAAAAGAAUGGUGAGAUACUUAAUACAUACACCAACCUUUGGCAUAUGGUAUCCCAAGGGAUUUUCUUUUAAUCUUGUUGGCGUAUUGUGAUUCAACUACGUCAGAGACAAGGUAGAUAGAAAAUCAACCUCGGUUACAUGUCAAUUCUUUGGGAGAUCUCUUAUGUCUUAAUGAGGAAAGAUCUCUUAUGUCUUAGUCAUCCAAGAAACAAAACUCGAUAUCUUUAUCUACUACCGAAGCAGAAUACAUUGUCGUCGGAUCAUGUUGUGCACAACUAAUAUGGAAGGCGUGAACUCAUAAGGAUUAUGGCAUCCAUGUGAGCCAUGUUCCAUUGUCGUGUGAUAGAAAGUGCUAUUAAAAUUGCCUAUAAUCAUGUGCAACAUUCACGAACUAAACAUAUACAGGUGCGACAUCAUUUCAUUCGUGAUCAUGUUGGUAAAGGAGAUAUUAAUCUCAAGCAUGUUCGUACCAACAAACAAUUGGCUGAUAUCUUUACCAAGCCACUUGAUGAUAAAGUGUUUUGUCAUUUGAGGAGAGAGUUGAACAUCAUUGAUGCUUCAAACUUGAGCUAGACUCACUCGGAUGCAUGCAAGGGCAUGAGCUUACUUGAUUAUUCCAUGAUUCUAUUGAUACGACACUAUCUUAUAUCUUGGAAAACUAUGCUCCCUUGUAUUGCAUCUAACCUUUUGUAGGUACUUGGAAGAACUACGCUUCACGAGAUUUCCAUCAACUCGCAUCAAAAGCAAUCUUGUCAUGGCCAAGUAUCAAGAACCCCUUCUUCGAAGAUGAAGGAAGAAGACAACAAAAUCAUAUCAUUGACAACUACUUGAUGAAUAAAUUCAUUCUUGUCAUUUGGAUAUAUGACUUUCUUCCUUGCAUGACCAACCUAUGUAGGUGAAAAGUGAACCAAAACGAUAGGGAUAGCUCCCGACUCAAGAUGAUCUUCAUCAACUUUGAGCAUCCACAACAAGUUCACCUACGUGCCAAGUCAUCAAUAUCAUUCGAAGGUAUGUACUCAUAUCCUUGAUAAAGCUUUACACCAAGUCAUGAGGUAAAGAAAGUCAAAUGAUAUGAAAACAUUAAAGUACUUAAUCAAAAAAUGGUAACCCCAUUUUGCGCUUAACGAUGAGUAUGACCUAUGAUGAAGCAUUUUUGCUUGACUCCUCAAGUAAAUAUACUCUAAUAUAGGUGACCUAGUCACCGCGCAACAUCUAUAUGAAGAUUCAUGUGUGCUUCAUAUUUUUAUUGCAUGCUUUCUUGAAAACCAUUCAAAUCUCAUCUAUAUGUAUAUAUUUCAACAAAAAAACUAUUUUCUCUUUUAUUUUUCAAAACAUUUGGAUAUUUUAUGUCUAUUUGAGUUGAGAAGUUGAAAUUUUAAUUACAACUCGGUGUCUCCGAUCUCGGAAACUCGAUCUAACCGAAAUCUCCAAGAGGCCUACUAACUUUCUCGGUUGUACCGAACCACAAUGCCUAGGUGACUCCCAAUUUUAUCACAGCCUAUGGUCUUUGUGUAUUUCUGGAUUUUUACCAAGGGGAGAGAAACUUUUCAAUGAUCCCAAGUUUCAUUACCUCGUGAGCACUUAUAGAUCAUUCCCAGUUAUGCCAAAGGGGGGCAUAAUCUUUGUUUCACAUAAUUUUCUAAGGGGAGAAAACUUCAAAGGGGGGUAAUAUUUCAAUGAUCCCACAAUAUAAGAGGGAGAAACAUCUAGGAUCCCUAACUAAAAUGGGGAGAUAUAUCAAGGAUCUCUUAUCUAUACUCAAAGAAGGAGAAAAAUUCAAGGAACCCUUACUCUCAAUGAACCCUUUCCAUGUGACCUUUUUGGAAGUUAAUGCCAAAAUGGGAGAUAUAUCAAAGCUCUAAUCGCUUAUAAGAAAAGGGGGGUCUACCAAAGGGAAGAUCUUCCAUAGGGAGAGAUAUAUCAAACCUUACACAUUCAAGGGGAGAGUUAACAUUAAGGGGGAUAUAUAUAUAUAUAUAUAUAUAUAAAUUAUUGCCUACUUUGUAUUUAACUUGUCUCACCCCACCUACUCCCAAUAUCUACAUGCUAUGAUUCAGGGGGAGAGGAAAUCUUUCAUAUUCAUACUUAGGGGAGUAAGUUCUAAAUAUCUUUGGAGACAUAUCUAUCAUCAAAUCCUAUUUUCAAUAUGUCUUCCGUAUCUUGGUACUUUUGAAGCUCUCUGCAUCUUUACAAUAGUAUACUCUUGUGUUAUCUAACAUUUGUUUUCCCAAGUGUACUCCUGCUGCUAAGAUGCUUAAGAACCUCAAGGUAAGUAUAUCCAUCAUAUCCUUGCUCGAGAUGAUCUCUUGCUUCUUGCACAUACUGUUUGCAAGAGUGAGUUUUGAACAUGGAAACUUUUCAUUCACACAUGUUUGAUGCAUAUAGCCAAGAUUCACAUGACUUGUCAUGUCUCUUCUACUAUGUGUGUGCUCUUGUAGUCCAAAGGAACCAUCCUUAUAAAAGGGAUUGCACACAUUUAGGGGGGCUUGUAUUAGUCAUGUAUCAAAGCUGGCAUAUUCUACUGCUUAUCUUUAUUUGAAGCUUUGAUUGUAUGUUGUCAUCAAUUACCAAAAAGGGGGAGAUUGAAAGCACAUAUUCUCCCUUGGUGGUUUUGAUAAUUCAUGACAACAUACAUUGUCUCUUGGACUAACACUUUUACCUCGUAUAUUUCAGGUAUAGUCCACACAGAGCAUUGGCUAAAGAAUUUUGAGGAGAAGCCCCUUGAUGCAAGGAAAGGAAUAGGAUCAUCCAAGCUUCAAGCAAGAAGACUCUACAUUUUAUAUUAGUGAGAAAUCACAUUUGAGUCCAUAGGAAAGCCAAUACUAUUAAAAGGGGUGAGGUAUUUAUGAUGAAUUGGUUUCUCAAGUGCUUAGAUAUAGCAAACAAAAAUACUCAUCAUUUCUCUCACAAAAAUCUCUGUCCAAAGCCUGAACAUCAAAAUCGGUGCCACCAAGUAUUCCAUUCCGGCCCUAUCGAUUUUCUAGUGACAAAACCUUUGCCAAACCCUAAUCUCUGAGUACCACCAACUUUCAUGUCAAUGCCACCGAAAGACAGUGACCACUUUUUGGUAUGUCGAUUUCAAGAAUCGGAAAUUCCGAGUUUUGAAAUCGGUCUCACCGAGAAUUGGAAACUGCCCUAGGUCAUCAAAUCGGUACCAUCGAGAUUCAUAUACCGGUCUCACCGAGAAUUCAGAAGUUGCCACAUUUAGUGCAACUCGGUACCAUCGAGAUUCAUUUCGAUGUCAUUGAGUUGGGCAAUAAUGUUGUAACAGUUGGAUUUUGGGAGAUGCCUAUAUAUACCCCUCCACCACCUCUCAUUCGUAGAGGAAGCACGCAGAACACACACACACACACACUUGACAUAUCCAUAUUUCUGAGAGAGAGAGAACCAUCUACUCAUGUGUUGAGAUCAAGAGAUUCCAAUACAUCCUUUAGAAACUUGAUCUCUAGCCUCACCAAGUUUCUUUCCACCAAAUCAAUCUCUCCUACCCAUACCAAUUCUAUGAGAGAGUGAUUGAGUGUUGAGGAGACUAUCUUUUGAAGCACAAGAGCAAGGAGUUCAUCGUUCUACCGCAUCUAUUACCUUUUCGAGGGUGGUGCCUCCUAGAUUGGUUAGAUGUCGCUUGGGGGCCUCCUACUUCAUGUUGUGGAGUUGUACCAAGAAGUUUUUACACGCAAGCCUAAGUGAGGCUAGUCCUAUGUGGACGUAAGCCAUGGUGGAAUAGACAAUGCCACUUCUUUGUAGACCCCUUAUGGGUGGAGCUCUCCGUGGACUCUCGCAGCCAUUAUCCUUCGUGGGUUGAUGUCUCCACUAACAUGGGCGUACGAUGGCACCACCUAUCGGAACCACGCCACAAAUCGCCGUGUCAAUCUUUGUGUUUGACCUUCUUGAACUCUACCCCUUACUUACAUGUGCGAUAGCACUACCUAUCGGAACCAUGCCAGAAAUCACCGUGUCAAUCUUUGUGUCUGAUCUUCCUGAACUCUACUCCUUACAUACGACAGCACCACCUAUGGGAACCACGCCAAAAAUCGUCGUGUCAAUCUUUGUGUUUGAUCUUCCUGAACUCUACUCCUUGUGCGAUGUUUUUACUUCCCGCUGUCAUAUAUAUUGACUAGCAUGUGUAGGGUGCGCUAUACCUUUUAGAAUUGCUAAAAUCUGCCAACCAUUAAAAUUGGGAAAAGGCUAGGAUUUUAAUUUAUGCAAGUAUUCUAUUCACCUCCUUUAGACAUCGCUUCUAGAGACCCAACAUGAGCAUCUGAGAUCAUUGACUAGGGGGGAACCAGGUGUCGUCGUCAGGGGGAACCGACAACUAAACAUGCCGACUUUUUCUCUAACUUUGAUGAGGGGUUGAGUGGAGCCGGUGCAUGCUAUGAGAGUGGUUCACCUGCUGGACCAGUGCAGUUUUGAGCAUCUCAAUGGCGUUCCUGGCCUCAAUGUCUCCCAGACUGUUUCCCGUGAUCGGGAUUGCAGCAAGAUUGUGAGUCUCCGCAAGCAUGUCGUCAACUAGGUUGGAGUAAUGACCCCAUGGAGUAUGGAAACGUUGAGGUGAUUGCUGAGGUAGGGUGUGCUGAUGGAUUGGCUUGUUCGAACCUGGAAGCACUACUCGUGUCAAUUGGGGUAUGACAUGUGUCUCCAGGUGUGCCGACUCCUGCUCCUCGAAUAGUAGCGUCAAGCGGUGUUUCAAAUAAAUGAGUUGGCUCAAAAGUUUAUGGCAGGCGACUCUACUGCCUUCUUGCGUGAACUAGAUAUUUAUCAUUUUGGCAAAACCCUAAGUGAACUGCAUGUGCCUUUAAGCGCUCUGAUUCACUGAGGACACAGAUAUGCAUGCUCGCCAUACAAGAUUUUUCUAUGUUGAUCUCCUCUUGGACUGUACCCAUCUGCUCCGGGAGUUUCGCCACCUCGGCGCCAUGCUCUUUCGCGUUCUUCGUGGUAAUGGGGGAUGCCAGAAGGGUACUUAAUGCGUUUGCCAAUUCCAACAGGUCGGCGGUUUGCUCGAGCCGGUCCCGCUUGAAGCUAGCGGCUCACCUUAGGUCCUAGCACUAGCGGUAGUGGAAGUUUGAAUCAUCCCAGUUCCACGCGCACUACCCCCUACCAUGUAGACGGCCGCGUGACAUGGCGGCUCAAAAAUCUCCGGGUCGGUCUCUUCGUGUGUAUAGCCCCCAAGCCGCUCGUCAAAAAGUGGAAGGAUCAACUCGGCUUCGUCGACUGGUGACUCACCAUGUGAGUAGGCAAGGGUGUCACCGCCAGACGCCAAAUUUCCUCACAAAUCCACUCCCUAAGUGAAUGUGAAGAAGGCGUGGUUCGGGAGGGGGGGCUUGUGUCUGACCGGGUUAGGAGCGUUGAUCCGGCUUGAUAAUGUCGGUGAAGGGGCGUGGCUCGGUCUUAGAUUCGUCAAUCUUGCCGAUGAAGACGUGGAUAUUGCCAGAGGGGACCCGAUACCCUUACUCGAUUGAGUCGCUUCGGAACCCCAACCAGAGUUGUCAAUGUAGAGCUUUCCACGAGACUCUUCGUCAUGUGGCCAAACGCGUAUCCCUCGAUCUCCCGAAGAGCUCCCUCCAAAAACUCAACACCACCGUGCGCGUGCCCCCGCGGUAGGCGCCAACAGUCAUGGUUUUUUCACGGUAGAUGUCCUCAUUAAAGGACUAAAUCUAGGAGCCAUCGCAACUACGUGGUUGCUUGGAUGGUGUUGAUCAAGAAGGAAAGAUAUGUUGGAAAUAUGCCCUAGAGGCAAUAAUAAAUUGGUUAUUAUUAUAUUUCUUUGUUCAUGAUAAUCGUUUAAUAUCCAUGCUAUAAUUGUAUUGAUUGGAAACACAAUACUUGUGUGGAUACAUAGACAAAACACUGUCCCUAGUAAGCCUCUAGUUGACUAGCUCGUUGAUCAAAGAUGGUCAAGGUUUCCUGGCCAUAGGCAAGUGUUGUCACUUGAUAACGGGAUCACAUCAUUAGGAGAAUCAUGUGAUGGACUAGACCCAAACUAAUAGACGUAGCAUGUUGAUCGUGUCAUUUUGUUGCUACUGUUUUCUGCGUGUCAAGUAUUUGCUCCUAUGACCAUGAGAUCAUAUAACUCACAGACACCGGAGGAAUGCUUUGUGUGUAUCAAACGUCGCAACAUAACUGGGUGACUAUAAAGAUGCUCUACAUGUAUCUCCGAAGGUGUUCGUUGAGUUAGUAUGGAUCGAGACUGGGAUUUGUCNNNNNNNNNNUUCCUAUGACCAUGAGAUCAUAUAACUCACUAACACCGGAGGAAUGCUUUGUGUGUAUCAAACGUCGCAACGUAACUGGGUGACAAUAAAUAUGCUCUACAGGUACCUCCGAAGGUGUUCGUUGAGUUAGUAUGGAUCGAGACUGGGAUUUGUCACUCCGUGUGACGGAGAGGUAUCUCGGGGCCCACUCGGUAAUACAACAUCACACACAAGCCUUGCAAGCAAUGUGACUUAGUGUAAGUUGCGGGAUCUUGUAUUACGGAACGAGUAAAGAGACUUGUCGGUAAACGAGAUUGAAAUAGGUAUAUGGAUACUGACGAUCGAAUCUCGGGCAAGUAACAUACCAAAGGACAAAGGGAAUGACAUACGGGAUUAUAUGAAUCCUUGGCACUGAGGUUCAAACGAUAAGAUCUUCGUAGAAUAUGUAGGAUCCAAUAUGGGCAUCCAGGUCCCGCUAUUGGAUAUUGACUGAGGAGUGUCUCGGGUCAUGUAUACAUAGUUCNNNNNNNNNNAUAUGUAGGAUCCAAUAUGGGCAUCCAGGUCCCUCUAUUGGAUAUUGACCGAGGAGUCUCUCGGGUCAUGUCUACAUAGUUCUCGAACCCGCAGGGUCUGCACACUUAAGGUUCGACGUUGUUUUAUGCGUAUUUGAGUUAUAUGGUUGGUUACCGAAUGUUGUUCGGAGUCCCAGAUGAGAUCACGGACAUCGCGAGGAUUUCCGGAAUGGUCCGGAAACGAAGAUUGAUAUAUAGGAUGACCUCAUUUGGUUACCGGAAGGUUUUCGUGCAUUACCGGAAAAGUUUCGGGCUCAUCGGUAGUGUACCGGGAGUGCCGGGAGGGGUGCCGGGGACCAUCGGGAGGGGUGUCACGCCCCAAGGGGUCUUAUGGGCUAUGGGAAGAGAUAAACCAUCCCCUAGUGGGCUGGAAUAAGUUCCCACUAAGGCCCAUAAGGUUUGAGAAGGAAAAAACACAAGGUGGAAAGAGUUUCCAAGUGGGAAGGUGGAAUCCUACUCCAAGUAGGAUUGGAGUAGGACUCCUCCACCUCCAAUUUCGGCCAAACCUUUAGGUUUUAAGGCUGCCUCCUCCCCUCCCUCCCUCCUAUAUAUAGUGGGGUUUUAGGGCUGAUUUGAGACAACUUUGCCACGGCAGCCCGACCACAUAUCUCCAUGGUUUUACCUCUAGAUCGUGUUUCUGCGGAGCUCGGGCGGAGCCCUGCUGAGAUAAGAUCACCACCAACCUCUGGAGCGCCGUCACGCUGCCAGAGAACUCAUCUACCUCUCCGUCUCUCUUGCUGGAUCAAGAAGGCCGAGAUCAUCGUCGAGCUGUACGUGUGCUGAACGCGGAGGUGCCGUCCGUUCGGCACUAGAUCGUGGGACUGAUCNNNNNNNNNNNNNNNNNNNNNNNNNNNNNNNNNNNNNNNNNNNNNNNNNNNNNNNNNNNNNNNNNNNNNNNNNNNNNNNNNNNNNNNNNNNNNNNNNNNNGGCAGCACAGCAAGACAAGUAACAACAGUAGCAACAGUAGUAGCAGCAGCAGAGCAAGACAAGUAACAGUAGUAGUAGGAAAAACUCGUAGGCAAUGGGUCGGUGAUUUUUUUGGAUGAUAUUCAUCAUGCAACAGCUAUAACAGAGAGAGAUAUGUGGCUAGCUCCCGUUCGUCAAUGUGAUGUAGGCAUGCAUUCCGUGUGUCGUCAUACGUGCUUAGGGAAAAUAACUUGCAUGACAUCUAUUGUCCAUCCCUCCCGUGGCAGCGGGGUCGAAAAGGAAACUACGGGAUAUUAAUGUUCUGCUUUUAAUAAAGAACCGGACCAACGCAUUAGCACUUGGUGAACACAUGAACUCCUCAAACUAUGGUCAUCACCGGGAGUGGUUCCGGUUAUUGUCACUCCAGGGUUGCCGGAUCAUAACACAUAGUAGGUAACUACAACUUGCAAGAUCGGAUCUAAAACACACAUAUAUUGGUGACAACAUAAUAAUUUCAGAUUUGAAAUCAUGGCACUCGGGCCCUAGUGACAAGCAUUAAGCAUGGCAAAGUAUUAGCAACAUCUAUCUCAGAACAUAGUGGAUACUAGGGAUCAAUCCCCAUCAAAACUAACUGGAUUACAUGAUAGAUCUCAUCCUACUCAUCACCGCCCAGCGAGCCUACGAAUAGAUUACUCACAAACGACGAAGAGCUUCAUGGAAUUGGAGAGGGAAGAAGGUUGAUGAUGACGAUGGCGACGAUUUCCCCUCUCCGAAGCCCAAGACGAACUCCGGAUCUACCUUCCAGAUGAAGAACAGGUGGUGGCGGCGCCUCCGUAUCGAAAACGCGAGGAAAACUUCUCUUCUUUUAUUUUUUCUGGGACGAAAGGCAACUUAUAGAGCUGAAGUUGGGGGCGGCAGGUGCCUGUGUGCCCCACAAGCCUGCCCACCGCCACCAGGGUGGUGGUGGCGGAGCAGGGGCUUGUGGCCCACUGGCCCACCCCCUGAGGNNNNNNNNNNUGAUUUCCCCUCUUCGGAGCCCAAGACGAACUCCAGAUCUGCCCUCCAGAUGAAGAACAGGUGGUGGCGGCACCUCCGUAUCGAAAACACAACGAAAACUUCUCUUUUUUGUUUUUCUGGGACGAAAGGCAACUUAUAGAGCUGGAGUUGGGGCGGAAGGUGCCUGUGGGCCCCAGAAGCCUGCCCACCGCCACCAGGGGGGUGGUGGCGGAGCAGGGGCUUGUGGCCCACUGGCCCACCCCCUGAGGUGGAACUUGGCGCAGAUAUUUUUGAUAUUUUCCAAAACUGCUCCCCGUAAAUUUUCAGGACGUUUGGAGAACUUUGAUUUCUGCACAAAAAUAACACCAAGGCAAUUCUGCUGAAAACAACGUUAGUCCAGGUUAGUUCCAUUCAAAUCAUGCAAAUUAGAGUCCAAAACAAGGGCAANNNNNNNNNNNNNNNNNNNNNNNNNNNNNNNNNNNNNNNNNNNNNNNNNNNNNNNNNNNNNNNNNNNNNNNNNNNNNNNNNNNNNNNNNNNNNNNNNNNNGGAUCACAUCAUUAGGAGAAUCAUGUGAUGGACUAGACCCAAACUAAUAGACGUAGCAUGUUGAUCGUGUCAUUUUGUUGCUACUGUUUUCUGCGUGUCAAGUAUUUGUUCCUAUGACCAUGAGAUCAUAUAACUCACUAACACCGGAGGAAUGCUUUGUGUGUAUCAAACGUCGCAACGUAACUGGGUGACAAUAAAGAUGCUCUACAGGUACCUCCGAAGGUGUUCGUUGAGUUAGUAUGGAUCGAGACUGGGAUUUGUCACUCCGUGUGACGGAGAGGUAUCUCGGGGCCCACUCGGUAAUACAACAUCACACACAAGCCUUGCAAGCAAUGUGACUUAGUGUAAGUUGCGGGAUCUUGUAUUACGGAACGAGUAAAGAGACUUGUCGGUAAACGAGAUUGAAAUAGGUAUAUGGAUACUGACGAUCGAAUCUCGGGCAAGUAACAUACCAAAGGACAAAGGGAAUGNNNNUAUGAAUCCUUGGCACUGAGGUUCAAACGAUAAGAUCUUCGUAGAAUAUGUAGGAUCCAAUAUGGGCAUCCAGGUCCCGCUAUUGGAUAUUGACCGAGGAGUCUCUCGGGUCAUGUCUACAUAGUUCUCGAACCCGCAGGGUCUGCACACUUAAGGUUCGACGUUGUUUUAUGCNNNNNNNNNNNNNNNNNNNNNNNNNNNNNNNNNNNNNNNNNNNNNNNNNNNNNNNNNNNNNNNNNNNNNNNNNNNNNNNNNNNNNNNNNNNNNNNNNNNNNNNNNNNNNNNNNNNNNNNNNNNNNNNNNNNNNNNNNNNNNNNNNNNNNNNNNNNNNNNNNNNNNNNNNNNNNNNNNNNNNNNNNNNNNNNNNNNNNNNNNNNNNNNNNNNNNNNNNNNNNNNNNNNNNNNNNNNNNNNUCCGGAAUGGUCCGGAAACGAAGAUUGAUAUAUAGGAUGACCUCAUUUGGUUACCGGAAGGUUUUCGUGCAUUACCGGAAAAGUUUCGGGCUCAUCGGUAGUGUACCGGGAGUGCCGGGAGGGGUGCCGGGGACCAUCGGGAGGGGUGUCACGCCCCAAGGGGUCUUAUGGGCUAUGGGAAGAGAUAAACCAGCCCCUAGUGGGCUGGAAUAAGUUCCCACUAAGGCCCAUAAGGUUUGAGAAGGAAAAAACACAAGGUGGAAAGAGUUUCCAAGUGGGAAGGUGGAAUCCUACUCCAAGUAGGAUUGGAGUAAGACUCCUCCACCUCCAAUUUCGGCCAAACCUUUAGGUUUUGAGGCUGCCUCCUCCCCUCCCUCCCUCCUAUAUAUAGUGGGGUUUUAGGGCUGAUUUGAGACAACUUUGCCACGGCAGCCCGACCACAUAUCUCCAUGGUUUUACCUCUAGAUCGUGUUUCUGCGGAGCUCGGGCGGAGCCCUGCUGAGAUAAGAUCACCACCAACCUCUGGAGCGCCGUCACGCUGCCAGAGAACUCAUCUACCUNNNNNNNNNNNNNNNNNNNNNNNNNNNNNNNNNNNNNNNNNNNNNNNNNNNNNNNNNNNNNNNNNNNNNNNNNNNNNNNNNNNNNNNNNNNNNNNNNNNNUCCCUUCCGAUGCAAGUAUGGAUUUAAGGGCAAAGCACCAGCAAGCAAUAGCUUUUGUAAUAUGCUAGAUUACCUCCUUUGCUUGCCUGAUGUACUUAACUCAUUGCAGUUUCUGGUGUAUUCCUUGCGGAGAAACUAAACACAUUCUUAGGACAAAACUGGAAGAGCUUCUCAAGCCAGAAUUACUUUGAUCCCCAAGGCCUCUUCAUCUCGGUCAUGUGGUCUGGUCCCCUGCUCCUGAUUACGAUACUUAUUCUGGUAAGUGCAUCGCCAGUCGUCUCAUUCACCUCAUCAGUAUCUGCAUCUCCUUUUGCUUUCCUUACAUGCAACUGCCUCCCGUGUGCUUGUUCUGCAGGUGAACACCCUUGUGACGCUCUGCAUGCUGAUGGUAAGGUGGAAAAGGGCCGAGCUCAAGCACCGCGCUCGUGAGGCCCGUAGCAAGCAGGAAUNNNNNNNNNNNNNNNNNNNNNNNNNNNNNNNNNNNNNNNNNNNNNNNNNNNNNNNNNNNNNNNNNNNNNNNNNNNNNNNNNNNNNNNNNNNNNNNNNNNNNNNNNNNNNNNNNNNNNNNNNNNNNNNNNNNNNNNNNNNNNNNNNNNNNNNNNNNNNNCAGGAAUGAUGAUGCUGCCAUGCCCGCGGAUCUGUUGUGCGGUAGGAGAUUAAGCUGCUGAUCUAACGGAGAAAUUUGAUUGGAACAGUAAAGUGGAAGGUUAAUUAGUCCUUGAUUUUGAUUGAUGGUCUCACUUAUGGUCUCUGGUACUGAAGCACACGGUUUUACACAUGCAUUAGCUGAUGUUCGCCAAAUUAAGGCAUAUGUUUGUGUAGGGAGCUCUGAAUGUUAUUUGGAUAGCUGCAGGAGUCAAGUGCCGUUGUAUAUGCAUAUUCAUUGUUAUGACUUGCCUCUCAAAUACCUCGGUUUCAU
rnacentral:lncRNA from 1 species